rnacentral:rRNA from 1 species
GACGAACGCUGGCGGCGUGCUUAACACAUGCAAGUCGAACGGAAAGGCCCUGCUUUUGUGGGGUGCUCGCGUGGCGAACGGGUGAGUAACACGUGAGUAACCUGCCCUUGACUUUGGGAUAACUUCAGGAAACUGGGGCUAAUACCGGAUAGGAGCUCCUGCUGCAUGGUGGGGGUUGGAAAGUUUCGGCGGUUGGGGAUGGACUCGCGGCUUAUCAGCUUGUUGGUGGGGUAGUGGCUUACCAAGGCUUUGACGGGUAGCCGGCCUGAGAGGGUGACCGGCCACAUGGGGACUGAGAUACGGCCCAGACUGCUACGGGAGGCAGCAGUGGGGAAUAUUGCACAAUGGGCGGAAGCCUGAUGCAGCAACGCCGCGUGCGGGAUGCCGGCCUUCGGGUUGUAAACCGCUUUCGCCUGUGACGAAGCGUGAGUGACGGUAAUGGGUAAAGAAGCACCGGCUAACUACGUG